UACAGGGGGUGCAAACGUUGCUCGGAAUCAUUGGGCGUAAAGCGCACGUAGGCGGUCUGUUAUGUCGGAUGUGAAAGCCCUCGGCUCAGCUGAGGAAGUGCAUCCGAAACUGGCAGGCUAGAGUACUAAAGAGGGUCGCGGAAUUCCCGGUGUAGAGGUGAAAUUCGUAGAUAUCGGGAGGAACACCGGUGGCGAAGGCGGCGACCUGGGUAGAUACUGACGCUGAGGUGCGAAAGCGUGGGGAGCAAACAGG
rnacentral:rRNA from 1 species